rnacentral:rRNA from 1 species
GACGAACGCUGGCGGCGUGCCUAAUACAUGCAAGUCGAGCGAGCUGAACCAACAGAUUCACUUCGGUGAUGACGUUGGGAACGCGAGCGGCGGAUGGGUGAGUAACACGUGGGGAACCUGCCCCAUAGUCUGGGAUACCACUUGGAAACAGGUGCUAAUACCGGAUAAGAAAGCAGAUCGCAUGAUCAGCUUAUAAAAGGCGGCGUAAGCUGUCGCUAUGGGAUGGCCCCGCGGUGCAUUAGCUAGUUGGUAGGGUAACGGCCUACCAAGGCAAUGAUGCAUAGCCGAGUUGAGAGACUGAUCGGCCACAUUGGGACUGAGACACGGCCCAAACUCCUACGGGAGGCAGCAGUAGGGAAUCUUCCACAAUGGACGAAAGUCUGAUGGAGCAACGCCGCGUGAGUGAAGAAGGUUUUCGGAUCGUAAAGCUCUGUUGUUGGUGAAGAAGGAUAGAGGUAGUAACUGGCCUUUAUUUGACGGUAAUCAACCAGAAAGUCACGGCUAACUACGUGCCAGCAGCCGCGGUAAUACGUAGGUGGCAAGCGUUGUCCGGAUUUAUUGGGCGUAAAGCGAGCGCAGGCGGAAGAAUAAGUCUGAUGUGAAAGCCCUCGGCUUAACCGAGGAACUGCAUCGGAAACUGUUUUUCUUGAGUGCAGAAGAGGAGAGUGGAACUCCAUGUGUAGCGGUGGAAUGCGUAGAUAUAUGGAAGAACACCAGUGGCGAAGGCGGCUCUCUGGUCUGCAACUGACGCUGAGGCUCGAAAGCAUGGGUAGCGAACAGGAUUAGAUACCCUGGUAGUCCAUGCCGUAAACGAUGAGUGCUAAGUGUUGGGAGGUUUCCGCCUCUCAGUGCUGCAGCUAACGCAUUAAGCACUCCGCCUGGGGAGUACGACCGCAAGGUUGAAACUCAAAGGAAUUGACGGGGGCCCGCACAAGCGGUGGAGCAUGUGGUUUAAUUCGAAGCAACGCGAAGAACCUUACCAGGUCUUGACAUCUAGUGCAAUCCGUAGAGAUACGGAGUUCCCUUCGGGGACACUAAGACAGGUGGGGC